AUGAGGUUGCAUCGCACGUCAGACCAUGGUUGGUUCAUCCAUGAUGUGAAGCAUGAGCAUAAUCACAGUAUGGCACAAACAUGUGGAGAGAAGUUGCACUGGCCAUCUCACAGGCACAUUGAUGCCCAUGCCAAAGACAUUGUCAUGCACCUUAGGAACAACAAUAUAUCAUUAAGCAAGACUUUCGGUGUGAUUGCAAGCUUUCUUAGGGAUAUGGAAAACUUGCCCUUUAACAAGAGAUCUCUGUGUUAUCUCUGCAAGAGGAUGAAUCAGCAGCAGGGCGAUGAUGACAUCAGAAAGACGAUACAACUCUUCUCUGAAUUGAAAGAGAAGGAUCCAAAGUUUGUCGACAGUGUGCUUGUUGAUGAAGGCAGCAAGAUCAGGGCAUUGAUGUGGACAGACGGUAAGAGCCGACACCAGUACAAAAUCUUUGGAGAUGCAAUAACAUUCGACACAACAUAUCGUACAAACCAGUACGACAUGCCGUUUGGUCUUUUUGUUGGUGUCAACAAUCACUUUCAGAGCAUCAUCCUUGGAGGAGUGUUGCUACGCGAUGAAACAACUGAGACUUUUGAGUGGGUGUUCAAGGAAUUUGCAUCUUUGAUGGGAGGGAAGGAUCCAAAAACAAUACUCACGGACCAAGCCCGUGCAAUGGAGAGGGCUAUAUAUUCCCAGUGGCCUGAUACAACUCACAGGUGGUGCAAAUGGCAUGUAUUGCAAAAAGCAAGGGAACAUCUAGGUUCUGUUUAUUCAAAAAACAGUGAUUUCAGAGACGAGUUUCACAAACUUCUCGAGUAUAUGGUCACAGUAGAUGAGUUUGAAACCGCAUGGGCCAGCUUGAUUGAGAAAUAUCAACUUGCAGACCACCCAUGGCUCACUCAAAUAUAUGAAGUUAGAACAAAAUGGGCAAAGCCAUAUUUUGCAGGUGUGUUCUGCGCAAGGAUGACGAGCACACAGCGUUCCGACAGUGCAAACCAUAUGCUCAAGAAUUAUGUGCAGUCGGCAUUGUCCAUGAACAAUUUUGUAAGGCAGUAUCAAAAAUUAUUGUUUGAUAGACAAUCAGAGGAAGAUUUUCAAGCGAAGAAGACUCGUGUGGGUGGCGUUGUCUUCAACCUGGGAGUGCCUCUAGAAUACCAUGCAAGCAAGGUCUACACUGCAGCUAUGUAUGAGCUGUUCCAACACGCAAUUUACUUGUCAGGGUCAUUUGUGUUACAAGAGGCCUGGCAGACAGAACAAGGCGUGGUCUACGUUGUUAACCACAUCUAUGCAGAGAGGAGGCAAGCAUGGUCCAGGACACAAUAUCAUGUUCUGUUUCAUGAGGGGUCCGGAGGAUAUUUAUGUGAGUGUGGUCUUUACUCACAUAUGGGCAUGAUGUGCUGUCAUGCUAUUCGGGUGCUGCUACAUCUCGGAGUUAGGGACAUCCCAGAAGUACACAUCAUGAAGAGAUGGACGAAGAACGCCUGCGAGAACCUGCCAGUGCAUCUGAUGAUAUAUAAAGCAUGCAAUUCUGCACUGAAGGACGCAACUUAUCGGCACUCUUCCUUGUACAGUAAGGCGCUCGAGAUUGUCCAAAUGGGGGACAAGAACACUGAAGCUUAUGGAGCUGCAAUGAAGCAGUUGCUGGACGCAAUAAGUGUUCUAAAUGAUAUCAACCAGGAGAGCGAUGGACGAGGGUUAAAUGAUCAAGCCACUGCUCAAGCACAUGACCAAGAUGUCCCUGUGACACCAGGAGCAAAUGGUCUGUCAGGUUCAAUGAAUGUUGUAUCACGCAAGAGGGAUCUAGGCAGGCCAACAAACGCAAGAGCAAAGCCAGGUUAUGAAAAUGUUAGCAAGCCAAGAACAAAGUUUUGCUCAAUCUGUAGAGGGAGGGGUCACAAAGCAUCGGGAUGCCCCUCAUUUGGAGGGGUAGCAAAGAAAAAAAGGAAAGUUCCAAAGUGUACAAAGUGCGGCCUGGAAGGCCACAAGAGGAAUAACUGCUCAGGAAGAAUGUUCGGCGUCUUCCAAUGA
rnacentral:rRNA from 1 species